rnacentral:rRNA from 1 species
GGCUUUCUGAGAAGCACAGGGGGUCGUGCCUUCCCAGUGGGCAUACGAGCCUAAACGGACGCGGUAAAUCGUGCUAAGGUAGCUAAAUUAUGGCCUAUUAAUUGUAGGUCUUGUGAAUGGUUUGACGAGUCUUCAACUGUCUCUAGGUAGUUUUGGUGAACUUGAAUUGAAUGUGUAAAUGCUUUCGUGGGGGAGAAAGACGAGAAGACCCCGUGAAGUUAAAAAUUUUAGCGUAUGAGAAUGUUAUUCCCUGUUGGGUUUAGACCACACAGUUGGGGGACUUGAUCGGUUCCUAAGUGGGGGAGUGUAGUGAUAGGUUUUUGCUGGGGCAGCAAAGGGGCAAAUCUAGACCUCGAUUAUAUUUUAAGCGGGUGCGCUACGACCCACAGGUAAAAAGGUGUGAUUAGCAGAAGGAGUUACUCCGGGGAUAACAGCGUUAUCCGUCCUGAGAGUUCUUAUUGGCGGACGGGUUUGCGACCUCGAUGUUGGCUCCGGAUAUCCUAGGGCUUGCAGGCGGUCCUAAGGGUUGGUUCGUUCGCCCAUUAAAAUCUG